rnacentral:rRNA from 1 species
UCGAACCUUCCCGAAAGGGUUGGGUGCCCGCAAGGGAGCGUGGAGACAGGUGGUGCAUGGCUGUCGUCAGCUCGUGUCGUGAGAUGUUGGGUUAAGUCCCGCAACGAGCGCAACCCUCACCCCUUGUUGCCACCGGGUAAAGCCGAGCACUCUAGGGGAACUGCUAGCGUCAAGCUGGAGGAAGGUGGGGAUGACGUCAAGUCAUCAUGCCCCUUACGCCCUGGGCUACACACGUGCUACAAUGGCCGGUACAAAGGGAUGCAAGACCGCGAGGUGGAGCUAACCCCAAAAAACCGGUCUAAGUUCAGAUUGCAGUCUGCAACUCGACUGCAUGAAGGAGGAAUCGCUAGUAAUCGCGCAUCAGCACGGCGCGGUGAAUACGUUCCCGGGCCUUGUACACACCGCCCGUCACACCACGAAAGCCGGCUGUACUCGAAGUCGCUGAG